rnacentral:RNase_P_RNA from 1 species
ACAGUCGCGUAUGAAGCUCGCAAGGGCUCAUAUGAGGAAAGUCCGGGCUCCAUAGAGCAAUGAUGCUGGAUAACGUCCAGUGAGGGAGACCUUAAGGAAAGUGCAACAGAAAAUAACCGCCAUACUAGAAGCUAAAAAUUAGAAGUUAGUAAAUAAACGUAAAAACAGUAAGCCAAUAUCUAAAUUCUAAUUUUUAACUUCUAGUAUGGUAAGGGUGAAAAGGUGAGGUAAGAGCUUACCGCUGAUAUGGUGACAUAUCAGGUCAAUGUAAACCCCAUCUGGAGCAACACCUAAAUAUAAGAAGGCUAAGGCUGCUCGCCAUCUUCUUAAACUGGUGGCUAGAGGCAUAUAGUAAUAUAUGUUCGAGAUAAAUGACUGUUUUUAACAGAACCCGGCUUACAGAUAUACU